GUUCAAGCCAAUCUUCGAGUGUGCCAGUAGUGUUUAAAAGGUAUUCAUUAAACAAAGCAACUGCAGGAACUCAGGAACCUUUUGAAGAUGUGUGUUCUCAUGACAAGGCAAACUAUCAUUCCAUGUGUAAGUCUGACUCAUUUCUUAAAGCUCACUGUAGAUACAUAAUGCCAGCGACCUUGUUUUGCCCUUCUGCUUAGCUCAAAUAUCUUUCCUAAGGAAGCACCAGUGUCAUCACAGAAGUUAUUAUUCUGUGCUUGUACAAGGAGAUCAAGAAUAAACUGUAUGCAGCAGAAACUGGCUUUCCAAUAAGAAAAGCUGUUCCAGAGAUUUUCUUAUGAAAGUUAAAUGACAGCAGACAUUGACUAAGAUUGCUACAUCAAAAGCAGGUUAUAGAAGGAUUUGCUGUCAAUUAAAAUAGGAUGAGUUUUAGGAAACAAAGUGUUUAAAUGUAGCUUGUUCUUUUUGUAAGAGUCAAACUUACAUAAAUUUAUGCUACUGCACAAACUGACUGAGACAUAUCUCUGGCAAUUGCCCAUUACUUGUUAUGAAAUGGAAUGUUUCAUGGUGCUGACACACCAAGCCCAUAUUUAACACCAGAGUUGUGACAUGAAUCAAUGUACUGGUAUGCAGAUCACUUGCUUCUUCCCUUCUUGACAAACAGCUCUGCAAUAAUCACUUAGAAAUUCCUUAUAUGCAAAUUAGGUAUCAGGAAAGGAUUUAUGGCUGUCCAACAUAAUUUAGCACCAGGAAAGAAAGAGGAAAAGCCGGGACAAUGUGAAAUUUCUAAGAAUCACAAUUACCACACUUAUGGUGCAAUUUCUCUGAAUCACUUAAAAUUUCAUCAGCUAUGUCCUCAUCUCUUAAAAAAAUAUGAAUUUUCACAGAAUAUGUAUGAAGUUGAAGGAGCUAGGAAACACUCUGAAUAUCCAAUAUUAGCUCCUGCUAAUUUUCUACAGUUUGACAGUCAACCUUAAACCCUAGACAACAGACUAUGGCUGUAUCUUACAUAUCAGGUAAGUAAUAGAGUAUCACCAUUUUGAUCACUGUGGGUAAGAGUAAACAAAUAUUGAUUUUUUUUACUUUUUUACAGCAUGAGAAUUAGUCACACCGAAAAAAAGCAACUCACUCAAGAAAAUUCAGUAAAUCUAUAGCAGAGCUAACACCUGAAUUUAAGUCUAUCAAGCUCUAAAAUCCUACUAACACACAAAACGCACACUUUAUAAUCAGUAGUUUUUUACAGUUGAAUGAAAAAUAAUUCAGAAUAUAAUAUUAGAUAUAAUGAGGAAUGUCAAGGGUUGUGCUACCCAGUAUGAAAUUGAGAUUGAAGUCAGCUCCUUUCCUGCUGUCUGUUAAUGGCCAAGGAUGUAAGUUCUGUCCAUCUUCUCAUGCCAUUUCAGACUGUCACUAAGGUAAACAUGAUCAUACCUCACAGGCUGUGAAAAACUUACAGGACUUCAAGCAAUAUUUAUGAACAAAAUGCAGGAUGGCAGAAAAUUGAAUGCAGUAGAUUGAAUGAAAACAAGAAAGAUUUUCUGUGAUUUCAGUUUCAGAUUUCCAGACACUGCAGAGGACAAUAAUUUUCAGAAAAAGGGACAGUUAUGUUUGAAAGGAAGAGAAACAAUGUCAAAAUGAACUCCAUAUCACAGGAAUGUCCUGCGUGCAUUGAAAAGAUUAGCUUGCCCAGAAAACUUGUCUUUUAAAAAAUAAUUUGAAAUAAAACCAAGAAGAAUUAAUUUCACUUCAGUAAGUAAUGUCCUAAUCAAAGCCAAUGAAGAAAUAAGGUGAUGUGAAAUACAUUUUUAGAUCAAAAAAAGUAAGUUGGAUCACUGAAAUGAAAAAGAAAUAAAGUCAAAAAUUCAAUCCCCAUAUCACCUCAUUACUUCAAGAUGCUGAUAUCACAGUCUUACUACAGGUUUCACGCUAUUGCAUCUAUCUUUCAUCUUUGAUAAAAACAUAAAACACCUUAAGCAAAGCAACUUGAACAAUGGUACUGCACAUGGUAUGCAAAUUGCAGGUGGCUUAAAGAAUAUACAUACAGUGCAGCUGGAUUUUAUCUGCCAAACAGGUGCUAGAUUUUGGAUUUGCUGACUAGUCACAACUUUAAUGACUUUUCAGUGAGAGGUGAAAUGAGGACCUGGGGAGUCUUCCAUUCAUGCUUGUCUAGCUAUUUUUAUUUGGUUUUGUCUUUACUGAAAAUUUUCAAAAGAACAUAAUAAAUGAGCACAUCACAACACUCUUCCUCAGAAUAUCCUACUCUUUUGCAAAAACUGGCAGUUAAUAAACAUAAAACUAAUGUGUUUAGAUACUGGAAUAAAAAUACAGGUGAUGAUGUGGCAGAAGAUAUUUUAAACCUUGCAGUCUGAAGCACCAAUAUAUAUAAAGUGCUGCACAUCAAAGUACUCUACAUGUCUAGCUAAGAGUCUGGCCCCACAUAUUCAAAUACACAAGAAGACAGCAACAACCAAAACAACAAAGCGUGAGGUUCUCUUCCCUUGGCUUUGGAACAAUAUAAUGAAGUGCAGUCCUUACAUCUGCCCACAGGUCACUAUGACUCCUCUAUCAGCUGUACCUUGUAAACUCUCCAGCAUAUUAUAGAGCCAUGGUUUUAAACACUUCAGGGUGGAAUGGUUUUUGGGCUUUUUUUCCUGCAUGCUUACAGAGAUUGGGUGUGAUUAUUGCAUGGAGCACUGCCACUUCCCCCAUCCCUACUGAUACUGGUUACCCUGUCAUGCUAUGAACUCUGGGGGUUUAAAUAUUUUGACCACGAAAUAGACUUGUCACAAUUAAAGGCACAUUAAUAUAAACUAAAGAUACUAAAGAUUAAUAUUUAGUUUGAAUGUUAGCACUGAGGCACAAUCUAAAAGAAGACACUGUUAGUAAAGCAGAGCUGAACUAUGACCUUCCUUUUUCAGGGGAAGCAGCAUAUAGAAAUGAGUCCUAUCAAAACUAACAACCAGAAAGGACUAUCAGAGUAGUAAUCUAAGCUGAAUUAAACACCUGAACAGAUAUUACAGAGCAGGAUCAUUAGCUAAAUGAUUAGACAAAGCUCUUAGGCAUCCUACUUAUCAUCUCAGUUAUAAAGAAUGGUAAAAAUAGUGCCCUACGGAGCACAAAGCAAGAAGACAACAUUGUUUUUUGGAACAGGAGGAAAGCUCUGACGAAAAGAAACUUGCCUAAGGUUAAUACAAUUGUCUGGUUUUGGGUACUUUACACUUCUUCUCCAAUAUAUCACUGCACACUUGCACAAAAUGCCAACACAUUAGCACAGUAAUUCUGCCUACUUAUUAAUUAUGCCAUCAGUCACCCAUCCUAAACAUGCUGGAGCUGAAAAGAAACUGCAAGAUGCAUUUUCUUUUUCCAAAGGCCCUUUACCUUGGCACUGAGUCUGUUUUAAGUUUCCAUACACGUUCCUCUUCUCCUACAGACUUUGACCUAUUUAGCCUGUUAUUUGGCACUCUUUCAAAAACAGAAAUCUAAAAAAUGUACGGUUUAGGAGUAAAGAGAGACAGGGAAAUAAUCCCAUCUCCCAGAAUCAACAGGAUGUUGAUACGAGAUCCAGAAGUUCUUUCCCACCAGACAGAUCAAUGAGCAAUUAUCUAUAAAGCAUAAGGCUAGGCAGCAGGGUUCAACACUGCUCAGAAUUAUUUACUUCUCCUGUGAUUUUAAAAACUAUUCUCCUUGCCCUUCAAUGAGAAAUAUAUGUAUGGAGGGGUCUUGAAAGCUGAAAAUUCAUUAGAUGAACUAGGAACAAGCUAAUAAAGCAAGUAACACUGAUAACUUGAGUGCUCUCCUAUAGAGAGAGCACCUUCAUAUGACUAUGUUCAAUCUGCUAUUCAUCACAGCAAAUAUUAGUACAGAAAAAAUCACCCUGAAGUCCCUUCUCAUCAGGUGAUAAAUACUGCUUGUCUUUUGCAGGAAUAAGGGGCAACUGUGUGAAGAGUUAGCAAACUCUGGACCCAGGCUGCAAAACGUCCACUCACACACUCUACCUGAUGACAAAUUCAACCCCAGCACCAAUCUCCAAAAAUUUUGUGGUCUAAUUAUUUUAAUGUCCUCAUGCUCUGUAAAUCUCCAGCCUCCAGUGCUGUUUCAAAGGCAUUACAGCUGAGACAACAUGGACAGCCAAAUUAAGAGAGAGGCUACAAGAAGCUACUUGCAUUGUAACAGCAAGAGUUAUCUUCAGAGUUGCCAUCUAGGCCAUCUAGGGAUGAGGCAAUGACCUUUUUUUAUUCAGCCACCAACACAUGGGCUCAUGCUUUCAAUAAUAUGCUCCAAAGCCAUGAUUUCUAAGAUCUGCUAUACCCAGGUGUCCCAGCAGAGACACAGAUGCAACUAGGACUGGCACCAGAUGAGAGUUAAAUAGCAAAAGGAAGCCUAAAACAGUGAAGCCAAAGACUGGCGUAGGGAGGAUAAUAGAGGUGAGCUGCUGCUGUUGAUCAGGGAUAUGGAAUAUGACCCUCUUGAGGAAUGAAUUCAAGAGUAUGAAGUCCAUCUGAGAGAAGCCUGUUUCCUUUGCACGCAUAUGAGUGCAUAUGAGUCACAAAGCAGGGAGGGCCUUUCUGGACAUCUCUGCCUAAACAAAGAGAAGAGAGGCAGACCUAUCUCUAGAGACAAUACCAUGUCACAUAAACAGAAUAACAGAAUAUUCUGAGUUGGAAGGGGCCCAGGUUGUUCCCUUUACCAGCAGUCUCUCCGUGAAGAGAGCAAGAAAUUUUCUGAUGUUUGACAAACUUUUACACUUGAAUUUUUUUAAGAAUUGUAUCAGUAGCAAGUGACUUUCUUUUAGAUACUAUUCUUGUUUUAAGACUUCACAGUUUCCUCUUGUUCUUUUCCCACUCUGAAUUGCUCUGUGGCAAUCUGGGAGAUGUUCAGUACAAUUACUUUCUUUCCUAGGAAUGACACUUGUUUCUGGUGUGGAGCUACUGUCAAUUCAUCAUACAAAACCAUCAUUAGCCCCACAUCUGGAAUUAGUAGCCCCCCUUCUCAUCUGGAGAACAAAGUAAUCCCUCUAACAGGCUAUAGUGAUGCAAGGCAGAUUGGAAUGACACAGCACUCAAAGAGUUCAAAGGCAUCAGCCUCCAACACCUGUGCCACGCACACAUGUUGGACAUCAUUCAACCUGAGCCUGGUGCCAGUGCCAGUUGCACAAGUAUGGCAUCUGCUCUGAAUGUCCCUGCCAAAAUGCUUGACCAGGAGCCAAUACUCUUUUCCAAAGGAGGUGUUAACUCACGGGUUCAUAGUCACUUCUCAGAAACAGAGAGUAGACAGAGAAGAAAAGUGAUUUACAAAGUAGAUCUAGCAAGAGGAUUGUCCCUCUUAAAUCCAGUUUUGCUUGCCUACAUAACGUAGAAAGCCUCUGCCAAAGUGCUGUAGUUCUGUGUGCAUACUCUGUUAGAAAGAGAGAUAAUUUAGUCUUCAUCUCUGUAAAGGUGACUGGAGAUAAUGGAGCAGGUUAUAAUAAAUUUCUUUCUUUAAUUAAUGCCUCCGAAUCUCAGAAAGGGGAAGUCUGCUUUGUAAUUAGGUAUGUGUUAAGCUUUACUCAACAUCAGUCAGGCUCACUACUGCAAAGUAGCAUAUCCCAUUCUAGUCUCAGAGUUCACUUUGUACAAAUAUACCAGCAUCUAAUGAGCAUCAUGUAUUACCGAACCUGGGAUGCAGGUCCGACCAUACCUUGAAACACAUAACUGUUCACAAAGUGUCCAAAAUUAAACUAGUGUUAUGGCAGAUCUAAAGCCAACCACAACACCAAAACAGAUCAACAGUGCAAUAUUUUAAUGCUUGGAAUGCAUGUCUGUCCAGUUUUCCCUGGACUGAUUAAACAGGAAGUUUGCUAGGAUUGCAUCAGAGUUACAGACUUGGUAGAAGGGAUGAAGACAGAAGCAAGCAAAUGUACUCAAGAAAAAAGCCCAUUGUGUUCUCUGUAGCCACCAACAAAAAGAAACAGCUGCACAAGUGCUUCAACACAUCCACAGAGCUUCCUCAAUCCUGCUAGAACAUUUCUUCUACUACUCUUCACUACUGUUCUUACAACAGGCUUUGUUCUUUCCACCAAUAAUGCAAGACCAUCAUCCUCCUAAUUAAAGUCAAUCCCUUUUGAGAUCCCCUAAACCCAAAAGAUGUCUGUAAUAAACCAAAGAUACAGAAGGCUGAAUUUGACCUAGACCAACUCCACCUUCUAACACAGACCUUCACAACUCUACUCUCUGAAGUUCUUUUCUCACAGUGGCAGUAGCAUUUUGCAUUUUUCCCUAUAACAUCCAUGGUGCCACUCUAGACAUCAUCAGACUAACUGAAAAACAUGGCACCUCUUCUAACUCCCUUGUUUUGGGCUUUGGAGGCAAUUUUUAAAUUACAGGAAUAGGUCAGUGUGAUUAUUAAAAAAAUAAAACUUAAAUGCAGAGAAAAUGGUCUACUGCACUUAUCAAAUAAGACCUAACCCCACCUUUUGGUAAUAAAUUGCAUAUGUAAGUGCUAAGUAUAAUUUGCUAUUAAUAAUUUAUUAUUAUUAUUUAUGUUAUUUAAUAACAGCAUAAGCAUGUCCAGGAAAGAGGCAGCAUACCCCACCACUUUCUUAAGUGAACAAGUUCCUUCCUCUGCAUAAGUAUUCCGGCCCAGAGGUAUAUUAUGUCAGAUGAACUACCCAGUCUAUCUCCACUUUUUGCCUGGGAAGGAAGCUUCCAGAUAAAGGAAAGAACAGUCUUAAAAAUGAGAUACACAAUGGUAGAGACCAUAAUGACAUCUAAAAGCAUUUCCAGUAACACAGAAAAUCUUUAUUGCUUUCUGCAUGCUCCUUAAUUAUGUUAAUCAUGAUGAACUUUAAUAUUAUUACCCACUAAUAAUCUUAAAUUGAUAUCAAGGUAGAUGCAAUAUAUAUUACUAUAUGAUUUCCACGCUUGUCUGCAUGAAGGACAAAUGGGGUGAAUUUUUUUCAUUAUGGCUUCUGUUAUAUUUUCCCUGCGUAAAGUCAAUCGUGUACUGCCACAGAAAGAAAUCCAUAACUCAUACUGUUUUGAGAUCAGCUUUUCCUUGUUUGAGAAUGGACAGGUUCACAAGUAUAGACGUAAGAUUGUUAUAUAGCCAGGGUAAAAGGAUAGCACAGUCAGAGAUUUGCACACUUAAAUAAAAAAAAUUACAAAUUAACUGUAUAGAAAGAAUUUGAAAAUGAAGAUUAAUUUAUCAUCCAUUGCCAGACAGCAGUUUAUAUUGGAGCAUUGGAGAAGAAAGUUAACUCAUUAAAAGGAUGGUGCCAAUAAAAAUGCUUAGUACUCUUUAUAUAAAAAGUCAUUUGUAAAAGUAAUUUGUCAUUACCAGAGUAGAUUGACUGAAAGUUACGCAAAUGUAGAAUGUCAAGGAAAUCCUCUGAGAACAAAAAAUACUGUAAAAAUCAGCAUUGCCAGGGGUGGGGAAAUGGACCCCUAUAAUGCCUUGUUAAGGAAAUAAAGCAAAUAGUGUGAUAAGGUGCUUUACAAAUACAUAAAGAAAAAUACUGGCUGAAAUGGGCUAUUUUGCCAUUGGAUUUCUAGGUUUGGUGUAGGACAUACCUCACUCAAGACCAAAGAAAUUACCUCUGUAUUAGACAGCCAAUGUGUACAUAGAUGCCAAUUUAGCUUCACCACUGGGAUGUUGGGCUGUGGACAGCUAAACCCAGCUUUUCACAUGGUCCUAAACAGCCAGGCAGCCCCAGGCCUGCAAGGUAGUCUGAAACUAUUCCCAUAAUUGUCCUCACGUCCCCAUCUGAUUCUUGCUUCUUCACAACUUCUUAUUAAUUCAUCAUAGCUGUCACAAGUUUCUUCUGUAAAAGACCCUGACUGAAUGCCUAGGCUCUCUGCUACUGCUCAGUGUGCCCAAGGAAACAGUACAGACUGACAGGAGGCACUGAGACAUAAAUGCUGAGCUAUGCCCAGCAGGCAGGGAUGGGAACCAGAGUGGACCAGAAUGCCCAACUGAAGCUUUGAGAUGCAGGAAAUCACGUCUUCUCUGCUUGUCCCCAUCCUUUUGGAUGCAGGGAGAGAUGAGACUCAUUACUUCUCUCAUAAAAAUUUGUGAGAGCACCUAAAGGAGUUAGGGCUUGGCAUCCUAGAAACACAUAGUAUCUCUACUUUUGAAAGGCACAGCCCUGGCAAAUGGCCCCAAGAACCCCUACAGAACCUUUUCUCAGCAAUAUCUAGGCCACAAAAGAUUUGUCUUCCUCCUCUGUCCAUUGUAUGACCAGGGCAGAGAAACAUAGAUCUUUUACAGAAAACUGGAAAAGAAAACUAGACCCUCACUAUCAGGGGCACAAUAAUGAAAGAAUCAAUCAUGGAAAAGCCCGUGGGCAUUUCAGCAUGCAAUAAGAGGUCUCAAGACAGUAUUAAACCAGAUUAUUGUGCUGGCAGAGCAUUCUCAGAGAGACCAGCAUCCUCUCUCAGUUUCCUAGGCACAAACAUUCUCCAGGCAUUAACUAUGGACACCCAUCCACCAGUGACAGCCAGCUAGAUGGCAGCCUUGCGUACCACUGCAGAUCUGCCCUUCUGAAUAGACAUCUAUGACAACUGUUAAUACCAAACCUUUACCAAUGGAAAACUAAAUGUUAAACAAGAGUGGAGAAAGAAGACUUCUAAUACUGCAAGAUUUUUCUUUUCUCAUACCAAAAAGGCAAUUGUUUAAUUUAUCAAGAGAUUUCUACUUGUAACCCAUACAAAGAACUGUCUAUAUUUUACACUCACUCAUCUCUUUGUUUUCUCUUAAGUUUGGAGUGCUAUCCUAUGGGAAAGCCUUUCAUUUUUCCAGUCCCAUUAUGUCUUAACUGAAGCCUCAGAAAAGGCCAUUUAGCAGUCUUACACCUGACUAAAGAGAGGGGAGAGAGGAUGUAGUUACCAGAAUGUGGAGACUUCUUAGUCAAGCCCCAGAGACUCAUCCUGAGGAGGAAGUAUCUAGAACUUCAAAGGGAACUCACCCAAAUAAAGUCCCUAGCAUAGAGAAAGGGAAUUGGAAAUCCUCUUGAUUCUGCUGGAAAUACCAUAAUUAAAGAAUGGAACAGAUCUCUGCAACAUUCCCAUGAGUUCAGGCAAUACCACACCCAGUCUGUUAUGGCAGGAAAUUGAUAACAGCAAGUUGGUAAAAGUGCGUGCUCACAUCAGAGAUAGUGGAUUCCCGGAGGAACUAGCAUUAAAUCACAGGAUAAAUCAUGACCAGAAUUUCUAAGUCUACAUGGAAGAUGAACCCCUUACGAGAGGGUUUUACCAUCAUAGGACUACGAGCAAACUAUGCCACCACGUGUGCUGGAAGCUGAUCCGAGGUUAUACCAACCAAAUUCUACUUGUUACUGGUACACACACCUACCCUGUAUAGGCCAAAUAAACCUUGCCAGCCAAUAGUUCUGGAGAUACACUAAGGAUUACUGCUACCACAGCUGCACAAUUUAGAGAUCAAACCUAUUUCCAUGCCUGAAGCCAUUCGAAGAGGAGCCUCUCGCAUAAAAUAUGCAACCAUAGCUAAUGACAUGUUGUAUAUAAUUAGUCAUGUCUAGCCCUCCAGGGGGUAACUAAUACAUUUAGUAGAUAUUUAGCAUGCAAUUUAGAUCUUUUUCCAGAUUUCUCAAAACCAAUUUUUUUGGGGGGUGGGGGGUGGGGGAAGGACAGCUGUUGCCAGGAAAGAAAAAAAUUCAUGGCAAUGAAGAAAUUUGCAUAUACUUGGCCAAUAUUAGUAAAGAAGUUUAAGGCUGAUUGCCUCUCCAGGAUAUGGACAUUUUUACGAGAUCCUUAACAGAAGAAAUUGGUAUUUCUAACCAGUCUUUUUUUUUCCUCACUAAGACUAAGUAUGUAGUAGUUUGUGUUGUAACUAGGAGUAUAAAUUUAGUAAUGCCAGAGAUCUGAUUGGCUGUAUUUCUGAAGAUAUCAAAAUUGAAAUGUAACAGCAGUACUAGGAAGGACAAGGAAAGGAAAAUUCCACAUAAGACAAUGGGGCUGAUUCUUACUUGACUUAAUAGCAAUGUUGAUCAAGAGUAAUUGAUGCUGAAUUCAGAGAACUUACUCAAGGGGAGAGAAGGGGAUGGAAAAGGAGAGAGAAUUGCCGUUUUCAGAAUUACAGGCUAUAAAAGAUAUCCAGAGCCAAGAAAAAAUUCCUUACUGAUUUUCUAUUGCAUUCACAUUUGGAAAACAACUUCAUUUCUUUCCAUGAGACCUUUGCAUUUCCAAAACUUCUUAAAGACAAAAUAUUUGGUCGAGCGUGUUGUAUUUGCAACAAUUAGCAGAGCAGCUAUUUAGAAAUAGCUGUUGCAAUGAACCAUAUCCAUUGCAAAAAGGGACACAAUAAGGAGAGGAACAAAACUGAUCUUCCACAUUCCUGUUUCAAAACAGAGGGCACAGUGCUGAUCAAAUUUUGAUUUGGGUUCAUUUUAAUUAGCCUGUGGGAAUUCAUUACACAGAAUGUAAGAUACAGUUUUGAGAAUUUAGCUCUCCUUCUCUAGGCCUCCAUCUCCUGAGAAUCCUACCCUCAGUUUCAACCUCUUCAGCGUUCUCUCUGAGCAUAGCUGUCUCUGUGGGUCAUGGAAAGUUUAUAUACAAUGCUCGCCAAAGACUACUGGCAACCUGAGACUUUCUGUGAGGAUUUCACACACACAUUUGUAGAGCUCAUCAAGCUCCAAGAGCCAUCCCUUGGCUAUACUGCACUCACAGCUCACAGUCCUGGUCUGCAUUAGCACAUCUAAAGUACUAAAAACCUCUUCCUGUCCCAGACCCUGCACUUCAUUGGAGAGGCUAUUGGUGCUGUGUCUGCAUUUCUCUGCCACUGAAUUAUGAAGGGCACAGGGAUAUCUGUAACAGCAGCAGAAUCUCAACCCUUUUGUACUUGUGUUACUGCUGCUUUUCUAUGUCCAGUGCUUUCUCUACCUCUCAGCACCACAUAUUUUUAACAUGUCUUCACUGAUAAUGUCGCUCUGACUACACAAAGGACUGGCAGCUUUUCAGUUACCAAAAUAGUGGCUGUUACAUAAACAGUUUUCUCAACUCUUUUGUGCUUGAUGCUUCUGUGACAGUGUUUAUAGUUCACAUUUUGACAAUGUUUUUCAGAAUUCAAAGAUUUCCAUUGUAUUAGUUUGUCUAAUACUGACAUCUCAAACGCCAUUCCAAUCUCAUCUAUCAUUUUUAUGCAAGCUUUUCCCUCAGAAUUAUAAAAACCAGUCAUAAGCACUUCAGGAAGGGCAGACUCAUCUAAGCAAGCAGCAGGUCAUUUGCAUGCUAACAGCAACUUCCACAGGGGAAGCAAACCACAAUCACAAAAUGGUGUACUAAGCCUAAAAUGUGAACUAGAUCAGAAACAAAUAACAGCUGACAUAGCCACCCAAAACCAAAAUGACAACAGUCACCACCAGACCUUCAUCUGUACGGUUUCUGCAUACUAAAAACAUGUUUGUAUUGGGGUUCUAGUGGAGGAUUAUUUAAAUGUAUCAACAGGGUAAUGUUCUUUUUCAGUCACCUGUGUGACAGGAUCACAAAAAUGAUAUAGCAUUAAAGAUUUUUCUCUUUGUCCCAGGAAAGCCACACAGCCUUCCUUAGAAAAAAGAUGGGUAGGGAGGGAAAGAAGCCUGUGCUUGAAACUGAAGGAAGAAAGGAAUGCAGCAUUCUCAGUUCUUCUCUGUAAAUUAAUUUUAUUAUAUCUAAAUCAAAAUGUCAGCACAUACUUUAUUUUCAGCUACUUUUAUAUACUGUAUAUUAGACAGCUGUAAUUUCAUGUUGCAUUUCAAAAAUACAUUCCCAUGAAGCGUAAUUCUAAAUAGCAGAAAGUGUCACAAUACUUUUACCUGUACACACAGACAACACUUAUGGCCUAAUAUCUUUGUGAACCCUUCCAGUAUACAAAUUGCAGUACCAAUGGUGAAAUUCCCCUGGAUUUUGUCUGUAACAGCAAGCACAAAUAGAAAUUUCAGAAAAAGACCCAAGAAAUCCUGAAAUGCUAACUGGGUAGGUGAAGGAGAGUUUCUUUCUUCUCAUCAUAUAGAUAGGUCCUAGAAUGUGAAAACAACCUUCUUUUUUAUAUAUCCUCUUUAAAGAAGUGUUACUUUUUGAAACAGCUCUUGCGAGCUGCAUUGUUGCUGCUGGUUUUUUUUUGAAAGGUCUUGGAGGACUCGAUCUCUUGUGCCCAUGAAUUUCCAUGAGUCAACUAUGCAUUAAUAAAGGCAAGAGUUCACACAUGCAAAUGGUAUUUUGUGAAAGAAGUCAUAUGAGAUUUCAUUUGCAUUGCAUUUUAAAAACCCACAUAACAAUCUUUUUCCUCAAUAGUUACAAUAUAGGCCAUUAGGUCUAUAUAUCAUACCAAAAGAAUAAACAAUUAUAUUAAUUUUGCAGUGUAAAAAUGAAAAUAGCAUAUAUACAUGCAAUUUUAGGCAUAUGAAGGCUAGCUAUUUAUAUCUGAAAUUUGGCAGCUUGUAGUAUACUUGCACAGUAUUUUUAGUAUUGAUAUAUCAGAGAAUGUUGGUGUAUGUGACUGACAGCUGACUACAUUUAUAUUUACACUACAGAAAGGUUUGUGUAAUGAUGAUAUCACAUCAGAUACCAGUCCUUUUAAAAGUACUAUGAUAUAUGCUUUCAUGGCCACGAAAUAGAUUUACAUUUAAAGCUUCUAAAUUAGGCACUCUAAAGUAGGUAUGAUUUUUUUUCUUUGAAGUGCUUGGAGACUGUUGGACACUGAAGGUGCUUUAAAACCCAAUCUCACCCUUCCAUGGAAUGACACAUCAAUGCAGGGCAUGAUGAUGUUCCACUGGCUCCAGAGGAAUCAUUCAGAGAACAAAGGCAAAUGCGAUAGGAGAAGUACUAAAUCUUAUACAGUACUUACUUUAAAACUUCCAUUGAAGUAAAAGACUGUCAUUUGAACUCAAAGAUGUUUAAGCACCUGGCUGACUUUGUGUUUAAAGAAUACAUGCAAGUAAUGCCUGUAACUGAGAAAAUGGACCUUACUAAUUGAGACAGAUUCUGUAACAAGCACUACCUGCAGAUCAACAUGCACCAUUAUACCUGAAUGCAGAAAAACGGUCUCCAUCCCAAACUCACGGCCUAGUGCUGUAAAAUUGUGUUUCUGUAAUAUCUCAGAACAAAAUAGGCAGCAUUAAAGUUCAGUAGUCUGUUUCAAAGAUUCUUGAUUUUAGCUAUGACAAAGGUAACAUUUCUAGAAGUCAAAAGUUUUGACAGAUAUAUGCAAUGUAAGGUUUGUAUUAUGCAAUGGCUAGAUAAAGUUUAUUAAAACUACCCCUCAUAUUCCAAAAGAAUGCCACUGCAUUAUGUAGCUACCUUAAUGUUCAUCCUGUUACAUCCCUGGUUGCCAUGGCAAUAUCCUCCUAGGUAUUUGUAAGGUCACAAAAAGAAGAGCUAACCCUCUUACUCCCAGAAUAACUAAUGCAGCUCAGUUACAGGCUUGAUGUAAAUAGUCUCAGGUGACAGCAAACUGUACAUAUAGUCAAUUACAACUGCUCAGAGGAAAUGAUUUGUUGUAAGAGCCUCUGCUCAACCUCGGUGACAUCAAUGUUUCUAUGGCAACAGUUGCCUCUUGCACUGCUUAGAAUUGAGUAUUGAUCAAACUAGGGCCAGCACUAUUUCAGAGACUUGCUACUUUUCUGUGUGGCAAUUUACAAUAGGAACUCAUAACAUCACUGUAUAUUUCAAGCCCCAAGGAACCAAUUUAGCAGACAGUUACAGUAGAAUAUUAGCAGAGGUCAAUAAUGGAAGUCUGAUUAUAGUCCUGGAACAAUUAUUCAAAGCUUUUGUUGUCUGCUCUUUCAUCACUCCACCAGCUAUUAAAAUCUUCAAAUAAUAAUAUUCAACCCCAAAGAAAGUGCUGAAUUCAUUCAUCUUCUAUUUUAAAUUUUAUUUUUCAUUGUUAUGUUAUCUAUCAAUAAAAUUAUUCAGCUAUAUUAGCCACGCUCUGACCUCUCAGAAGUAAAUAACUAUUGAUCAAGAAGUGGAGCUCUGAUGGCAUAGCACACGGUUUCCAUUAAUGGUCUCAUUGGCCCAGCAGAUAAGGUGAUUCUUGCAGGAGAGCAGACAAACAGCACAGGGCCAUUCCCAGAGGAGAGCAGGAAGGCACACAUGGUUCUUUGUAGGGGGAUGGGGACUCCUCUCCCACGUCUGUCAGCAGCAAAAUGGAAAAGCCUCGGUAAUAUGUGUGUGUUCCAGAAAAGGCACUGAGGCCUUUACACCUCUCACACGCAAUCUCUGCAUCUGGGCAUUCUCACGUUUUAGAGGGGAUAAGGAAAGUUUUCGUGUCACCUGUUUUCCUUUAUGAAAACAGAUACAGCGUGGGGGUCUUUUGUGUGUUGAAUGGCAAAAAUGGCCAGUCUCAGGACUAGCCAAGAAUUUGUGAUGAGUAAUAAUGCUGAGAAUGUCAAGAGAAUGAUGUUACUCUAAGAAUGUUUCUUCUUCAUUAAUUGUGAGGGUUUGCGGACUGAAGAGAUUGCUUGCUUCUUAAUUUUAAAAACAUCACACACAUCAGCCUAUGAUUUGUCACUCCUUUUGCUCCUACAGUAAUUUUCCUUUAUGCUUGAAACAGGGAAAUGAAAGAAAACUCUUUGCAUGGUUUACAACAAGAAACAAUUUACUGCAUUUCUCUAACCUCAUCAAUUAAUGAGUACUCACAGAAUUAGCCUAUCUCUUAACAUGAUGCACUUCAAAAAAUACUUUUCUAUACCUCCCAGCAAUUUGCAAAAUGAGGUAUUUAUGGGAAGCAAAGUUUGUCUCCUGCUCUUCCACCUAUUUUAGUAGGUCAACCCAGAAAUUUUAUUUCAGGCCCUCUUCUAUGUAAAUUGUACUUCAGAUGCACAUACAUUUUCAUUCAAAUCAAUAGGAGUCAGACAUAUCAAAGGAGGAAAUUAUCCCCUCAUUGAGUCUUCUUCUCCAAAGUAGAUUUAUGUAACUCCUACACAGAGACAAUGUAGUUAAUUACAUUCUUCUUUGAGUGCAUCAGUGGGAAAAUAGGAUUUAACUAUCAGGGAUGUUAAGCAGACAAAUUCACCAGGAAUUGAGAAAAUUCCUGUACUCAUCUCCAAAAAAGAGGGGGAGAAACUUCCAAGCUCAGCAAGAUCUAAAUGAAAAUGCUAGAGGGAAUGAAGAGAAAAUGAACAAUCAUUUCUGAGGUUAGUAAGAUUCUCAGUUGGUCACUAUUCCCAUUUAACUUCUUUGUCAUUGUUUCCCCAAAGAGGGUCAAAAAGAUCAAUCUGUGAUGUCACCAGGAUGCUCUAGCAGCUCCCCCAUCUUUUAUUCAUUAGGUUCAGGCUGUGUUGUUUCCUGUCUAUCUCAGUGUCUAGCCAAGAUUGAGGCCUGGAUGACACUGGUUGGCUGAUACACAAUCCAGAAGAGGCAGAUGUUGUACUGGAACCAGCAAACUGAAAGGCAGGGAACACAUGUAGCUACUUUAUCAUUGGAGGAUCAGUUGUAACAACCUAAAAGCUUUAAAGGGAUUCUCUCUUUUUGCUUCUCAGAGAGAAGAAAAAUAAGUCAUAAGUGCCUUUCAGGUCUAUUAUUGAUCAAGGGUAAUGGGAACUUUCUGUUGCAGCUGCAGAAGUCAUUCAGGUUCCUGCCUGUAUGGAAGUGUCUUGGAAAAAUGUGGUUAAUAAAAUGCAGUAAUGGCUGGCUACUACUACACAUUGCAGAAAGCAGAGUGCAAAAACUAUUCUUCUAAAAAAUCUGGUGUAAAUGAAAACUUUGUACUUAUUUGUAAAACAGGUAGUUCUCCUAUAGUUGGGAAAUAUUAUUUUUUUUGCAUGAACGGGCUAUGGCAACUAAACACUGACACAGUAAUCAAGUACAGUGACCAAAGAAAGUGCACCAUGCAGAAGCAUCAUCCCAGCACAGUUUCCAUCACUAUUUUUGUGGAUUUCUGUGAGGUUACACUUUAUAUACCAUUUUGUACAGUAAAUUUGAAGUAUGUAAGUUGUACCAAUUCACUACAUGGUAUUAAAGUGGCUAAAAUUAUGGUUUCAUACUUUAAAUAGAAAAAUGAGAAAGGGUAAAAGAAUAAUAAAAAAAAUCUCACAAAUUCUAAUACUGUUUUAGGGUUAAUUCCAGCUUUUUCUUCCAGAACUAACAACUAUAUCUAGGCUGAGCUGUUGGGUUAUUGUUCCACUUAGGCACAGUCUUUUCUGGUAUGUUGAAUCAGACCUUGAAAUUAUCAAGGAAUAAAUUGACUUCAGUGCAUACAGGGACAGACUUUUAAAGCAGUUCUGUGUGGUUCUGAUCAAUAGGUACAUGGUUUAUGUUCUUGACUACAUAGCCUUGAUUUAGAGAGCUCCCUUGGAGCCUAAGACAUAGUAUUCCUGUAUUGGGAUGAGCUACAGUGAAACAACAUGAGGACCAUGAACCCACCUAUCUUUUAUUUCUCACCACAGUCUGCAGGUAAAAAUAUAACACCUCAUCAUUUUAUCUUUCUGUAUAUCACUGUACAAUCAGCAGUACUUUCUUUUCAUCAAAACCUACUCGACAAAAAUUGUAAAAUUUGAGAAAGCACUAAGUCUUUUAUGUUGCAGAAAUAUAAGGUGCAUCAAGCCCAGCCUUUAAGUGAGCCAAUCCUCCAACUGGAAGAUAUAAGCUGUCACAAGUGCUUUACACAGACUGCUUUUUAGACUGAUUUUGAAUUUCGUUGUGGGCUUACAUCACACAAUUAGCACCAAUAUCAGCUACAGCAAUUAGCACCAGAGAGGCUCCAAGAGCUGCCACUCUGGGUGAACUAAACUGCUAAACACGUUCCAGCAUUUUUCUAUUUUCAGUGUUCAGUCCUGUUCACUAACUAGAAAGAGUUAUAUUGAAAUUGCUGAAAUUGAAAUUACUCUGAAAUUGAAAAUUAAUUCCAAAUUCAUAUCAGAGGGAAACCCUAACAACUCUCAGCAUUACAGCUGAGGAAGGAUACAUUUUCCACCGAACAACCAUGCAAGAGCCGUCAGUCCUCUCCUGUCUUAUAAGAUAACUUUUUACUCUGCAUUUCAAAUUACUGCUAAGAGAGAUGGACUUUUACCUCUUCAGCCUGUGCAAUACCAGUGCUGUUUUUCUAACUUCUAAGUUGUUUAGAGGAACACAGUCAAAAGCCUGAGAAGAAAAACAAGGAUGCAAAAAUGACUCUCUUAUACCUUUGCUUGAUGAGGUAUCAGAAAGUCAACAUCCUCAAUACUGUUCAUUUAGGUCAGAAGAGGCAAUAGAAGCAGAAGUUGCAUUUGAAACAUAUCUCUAAAUUUCAGCUUACAGAAAACAAAUAAGCUGUGCAACAAGGAGCUCACACGUACAGCUAUUGAGGAAUAUGAAAUGGAAGCUUACAGGCAUAGUUGUCAAUAUAUUUUGAUGUAUAGUUGAAGACUUGAUAUAUAGUUAUAUUCCAAAUUUCUACUGGAAAGUCAAUUCUCUUGCAAUUAAACGCUUACCACAAUAAAAGGGAGCAAAAGAAACUGUCAUAUCAGACAUUUAUUUUGAAGCAUUGUGCUUUAAAAUGCUCAUGUAUAAAAAAUCAAAACUAAAACCCCCAUUUUUCCAUUGCAUCUCAAGAAAAAGGAGAGAAUCUUGUUGAAGCACGGUGAGUAAGCACUCCAGAAUAAGCCUUUUCAUGAGAAAAAACCCCUCUCAUUUGAAGUAACAUUAUUAUGGAAUUAUUUUAAUGGAACAAAAAAGCUCCUUUCCUCCAUCUAUAACUAGACACAGCAAUAAAUUAAGGAUGGAAAGUCCCAGAGGUAUUCCUCAUGUUUGAUUUCAAACAUACUGUGUUGCGUUCAACAAACCUCUCAGAAGCAAGUGUUCAGCUAAGACUGUGCAGUUCAAAAACAUCAGGAGCCCCUAAAGGACACAAUGGAGAUUAGGAGCAAAACUCAGAAAAGCAGUCAGGAAAGUCGUCCUCUUUCAUAUUUUCUUUCCUUAAUACUGAACUGGGCAAGUGAUUAAGUACUGUUAAGUAGUUUUCUAGGGUUUCCAGACCUAUUUCUUUUGAUCAGAGCAUUUGCUAAAAGUAAAAUUCAAAUCCAAACGAGCUUUGUUAAAGCCCCAAUUCCUGUGUUCCUCACCCUGGGUUAAUACCCAAUCACGUGUGUCAAGGUCAGAAGGGACCAAUGUGAUCAUCUAGUCUGAAGUGCUGCACAACACAGACCAUAGAAUUUCACCCAGCAAUUCCAGCGUCUAGCCAAGUAAUUUGUGGCUGAACUAGAGCGUAUCUUUCGAAAAGUCAGCCAGCAAGCUCUUAAGCAUUUGUGGAACUUCAUCUGCUUGAGUAUGUUCAUUUAGUUCACUAGAGUAGACGUAACUGUUUAGGCUUAAGAGUGCUCAGGGUCAAAAUGCAAAACAAACAAAACUCAGCUGCCAAAACCCCAAAAGUUUUCCGUUAUUAGUGAGGGAAGACCCUAUGAUGAUUCACAAAGCUCUGGGUCAUUCCUGCAAGAUAAAAGUUUUUUGAAUUUGUUAGGAUGUCAAAUAUUUAGAGCUUAAAAAGAAAUAUGUCUCAGCAAUGGCAAAAUCCUUUGGCUAACCUCACAGGCAAAGACACAUGGAGAGAUCAUAAUUUCCAGAGAUUUUAGAAAGAGCAAACACUUGCCAGCCUCUAAAAAGUAAUCCUGUAAGUAAAAAAAAAAAAAAAAACUAAAAAAAAAAGUGGAGGGAGUGAGUGGAAUAAAAAUACUCAACACAUCUUUAAUCUUUAAAUACACAUAUACAGCUUCUCCACGAAUGGAGGGAAAUCUCAUCUACCUGUUUAAACCAUCAUCCAAUCCAUUUGCACAGACAGAAACAACUAUUUUAUUCUGAUUAUUUAACUGUUCUCAAACUCCUAUUGAAGAGGAAGGAUCAAGCUACAAAAUAGGUUACAUUUUGGACAAACACUUCAUAUUAUGAGUACAGUUCCAACUAGGUCUUUAUUAGAGACUUAGCUUCAAGUGUAAUGGAGCCUCAUUUAGAAAGUCAAGUCCUUGCCUUUGUAGAAGAGAUUUCACAAUAAAAACAUAAUCUUUUCCUGAAAGGAAAAAUAAGGCUGAUUUCUUUAUGGAAAGAAUAGAAGCAAAAGAAGUACCAGUGGAAUGACAAAGUACUGUAAUGAGUCAAAGAUAUAGAUAGGUUCUAUUUCUAAACCUGCUACCUGCUAAUGUGGAAAAUCUCUUCCUUUUCUCCAUGUUAAUUUCCAAGGUUUGCUCUAAUUAAAAUUGCAAGUUUAAUUAAAGCUGUAAGUUUUCCAGAAUAAAGUCUAUACUUGCUGUGAUUGUGUUUGCAUGAUGUACUAGUAAGCACCAGCACAAAUAUUUUAAUGUUGCUUUCUGUCAUGUGCUAUAGAAACAAUCAGAGAAGAACAAAAGUGAGGAGGAAGGUGAUCAAACCUUCUGAAAUAAGGUAAUUUGAAAUACCUGAGGGAGUAGAAAGCUAAGAUGCUAAGAACAAUAAAAAAGUGGGAAGGAGAAAAAGAUGCGGGAAAUGGGAAUUGUAUUGAAGAGAUGAAUGCUGAGUGCAGAUUAAAAAAAAAAAUCUAAGCAUAAAUAGAAUUGCAGAAUGGUAUUUCCUGAUGGGUCACGUGCAAUAUGUUGCAUCUCUGUGCCACAGAAGUAGGAUGGAUUUUACACAGCUAAAGCUUUGAAGACAGUGCUUGGUUUGCCAGUAUGGAGCCUGCCUUCACCUUUAUUACUGAAGGAGGAUGUUUUUAUUUGCCUAGUGCAAUGCAUUAUAUCCAUAAAUUCCAUCCACUCAGCAAGUCAAAUUAAUGCUAACCUACAAGAUACAUUAGGUAUGGGUUUAAAUCAGUCACUUAAGAUAUACUGCAACCUAGUUUCUAUCCAGGUUUGCAAUAUAUUCACCAUUAAAAUACCCUGCAAACAUUCCUCAAGAUGCAUUGUUUGUUGGGGUGUCUCACCUUUGCCAGCAAUGUGAAGGUGUAAAGAAUACAAGAUAUAAUUUGUGUUGUUCCAUGAUCACUACCAAUGAAAUUUCAGACUGUCAAAACAUUCCAGUGCUACAAGAAAACAAAUCCUGCUGAAUCACAUUAGUUAACCACUUAAUAGAAAAAUCUACUGAUUUCCAUCAUGAGUAGCUUGCAUUGGGCUUAUGUGAGAUUGUGAUAUUUUUCAGGUGAUAGCAGGAGAAAAGCUGAUGAAUUACAUCUGAAUUCUUACUGGUAUAUGGCAAAAUUAAGGUCUAUCUACUUAAUGGUGAUGUCCAAAUUUUCUUCAUUCAUCAAAUUGUCCUAUUUUACAUAAAAGGCAUUUAUAGGCAUAACUACUAAUGCCCUAUAAUGUGUAUGUACGAGUUAUCAAAAAUAAUUUCAAAGCUAACAAGCUGAUUUCUGUAGUUGCAGAGUUACACCUACUGCAAUCAUUUUAGAUGAGAGAGGCAUAGAAAGUACAAAUGGAAAAAAAAACAGGAGGGGAAAUUCAGAAUGCAGAAGUUUCCCUAGAGGGAUGCAGGACAUAGAUACAUUUCUACAGCAUGUGUCACUCCUUUGUCAAUAUUUACCCAGCAAGUUGAAUGAUAAUGUGCAGUCAUUAUUAAACUCAGCCUUCUAAAAGAAUAGGUUCUGGCUCUUGAUACAGUUGCUCUGUGUAAAUUAUUCCAGGGAUUAUGCCUGGAUUGUGCCACUGGCAGUUAUUUCAGAUCUACAUCUCAUUUCCAGAUGGUUCAUCUGUUUGCUUCUUUAAUAUAUUCAAGAUUCAUUGUGUUUGUCACACAUUUACACAUUUUUAAUGUUGGUUACUCAGAUAAAUUUGAUCUCAGACAAAGAAUAAAGAGAUAACAUCUGUAGAUUUUUCAUGCUAAUGCUAACUUAAAAAUUUCUCUAAACAGUGAAAGCACAAGAUAGUUUUUGAAAGAUUAUCCAAACAUUAGAGUUUUUCUUGCUCAUUAAAUAUUGUAGGAAACAAAAUUGGUCUGCCUAAUUUUACCAAAUUAUUUCCUUCAGUGCAGGAAGCCAAGACAUGCAUAAGGGAAGCCAUAGCCCAUAUUUUUCCUGCUGAGGUUCAGACUUUUGCUCCUACUUUUGAAACAAACAGUAUGCACACAAGGCAGAUUCAUAUAGCCCUCCCUUCUAAGCACUUUUUAGUAGUCCUUUUCUCAAAAAGGUAUUGGUUUCAUGGAGAGGGAAGAAAGGUAAAAAAACCCCAGUAAGUCUCCACUCUAUGCUGUGUUUUCAAGGCUUUGUAGAGGAACUCCGUGGUAUCACUAUAUUUUCCCCUGUAUCUACCAUAUGUUUCUUAGGACACUGUUCAUGAAAGACAGAAAAGAAUCCAUCAUUUCCACAAAAUAUUUGCACCUCUGUUACAUACUUUUACAUACGAGAGGUGCUAAAAGUGUCUACUAAAAUAAGAAUUAUUGGCUACUUUCUACAUACAUUAGAUUCCUAAGGUUCAUGGGCUAGGCAAUUAAGGCAAAUAAUUACUAUCUCAAACGUACAGGUAAGAAGUGGGCAUAGGAGAGUGACUUUCCCAGGCCAAAAAAGACAAUGGGAGAAGUUCAAAUGGAAUUCACAUCUCCUGAGAUCCAGUCCAGCAUUGUAUUUUUAACCUGGAUUAUACUAGUAAAGGCAUGGGGAGAAGUGUGAAAUACUAAGAGCUUUCUUUCACAGACAGAAAGGGACUCAAUAAAAAUGCAGGGGGAAAAUACUCUGAAAUCUAAUUUUUAUAUUUCACAAGCAAAUCCUGUUGUAUUACAGAAGCUCAAGAAACAGAUCUGCAUGGAAAAGCUGUUUGUAGAAAAUACAGAGCCAUAACCUCUGAUUAUCAAGCCACCCCAAGUUUUGUUAGCAUGUGAAAUGAUAUUUAUCCCACGCAUUGAUUGUCCAUACUGAAAAUAACAAUAUCACACACUUACAGAAUACUUGUGGAAUUUGUGCAAACUGUGAACAUAUUUUCAGAUCAAUUUUUGAGAUAAAGAAAUGAGACAGAAAAAUAUCUUCAGCCUUUUAAAACUACUAAAAGUUCCUACAGUUUAUUUGUACAUGCUUAUUAUCAAUCAGUGGCAACAUUAAGAGUUGCAUGUAAAAUUACACUUGCAAUUAUAUCGACAAAGUUUUGGUCAGUGAACAGAAGGUUAAAUCAAGUAAAAUACUUCAAGUCCCAAAGAAAGCUCUGGAACCAAAACAAUGAAAAUGAAGCUCUCCCACCCCCUUGUCCUGGGCCUCAACCCCAGGAAUCUUUGCUCUGUACUUGACAGUCUUUUAUUUCAGAGCUUAAAAAAAGAACCAUUUUUGCAGCCAUAGAAGCAUGUUCACUCUUCUCCAAACAGUACAUUUGUCAUUCAUCAGUGAACAUUCUGUGUUAGAUUAUGAACCAUUAACACCAUUCACCUGCACCAUGA